AUUGAACGCUGGCGGCAUGCCUUACACAUGCAAGUCGAACGGCAGCACGGGAGCUUGCUCCUGGUGGCGAGUGGCGAACGGGUGAGUAAUACAUCGGAACGUACCCUGAAGUGGGGGAUAACGUAGCGAAAGUUACGCUAAUACCGCAUAUUCUGUGAGCAGGAAAGAGGGGGAUCGCAAGACCUCUUGCUUUAGGAGCGGCCGAUGUCGGAUUAGCUAGUUGGUGAGGUAAAGGCUCACCAAGGCGACGAUCCGUAGCGGGUCUGAGAGGAUGAUCCGCCACACUGGGACUGAGACACGGCCCAGACUCCUACGGGAGGCAGCAGUGGGGAAUUUUGGACAAUGGGCGCAAGCCUGAUCCAGCAAUGCCGCGUGUGUGAAGAAGGCCUUCGGUUGUAAAAGUACGACUUUAUUCUAGGAACGAAAGACG
rnacentral:rRNA from 1 species